GCCGGGGCGUCCCCCGCGGGAGCCCGCAGCCACCCGGGACGCGCAUCCAGACGUGGCGCUUCGGACCGGGCACGCUGCGCCCGGGGGCUCGGCGGACCCCGCGUAGCCGCCGCUUCGGAGCUUGUGCGGCGCGGGCUGGCCAGCGGGGCGGCCAGGGCCCGGCCCGCCUCCCCAGCGCCCGCCCGGCUUCUCCCCCUGGCGGUGGGAGCCUCGGCGGCCGCUGGCGACACUAGGCGCACUGAAGCCCGAGCCGAGCCGAGCCCGAGCCGCCGCCGCCGCCGCCGCUGCUGCGCACCGCUCCCGGGCUCCCUCCCAGCGCGCCGGCCGGGGUGUGGGGGGCGGCGGGCCGGAGGGGCGAGGGCGGGCCAGGGGGCGCACACGGGGGUUGGCGCGGAAGACAGGACCCUCAGCCUCGAGGGAGCCCCUAGGUGACCAGGCAAAAUGGCAGUUCCUUCCAGCUGGUCCUCAGAUGGGCACAUCUAUUAGCCUCUGCUCUUGUAAGAAGUUAGCUGCAGAACCCACAUGUGAAUCCUUGUAGGACUCUGGAGAAGAUCAAAUGGGAGCUUAGAUGUGGAAGCUCUUUGGAAACCAAGAAACACUCUGAAAAUGAAAAGGAUACCAACUUCAUCUCUCUUUAAGAAUACAAUAUUAGUUUAAAAGAUUGUUCAACUUAAAGCAAUCUUGUAGAGAUUGUCACCCAUGAUUGAUGCUGGGUGGAAGAGUAAACUGUUCCUGUUUCUCCAUCUUGACAGGAAGCAGAAGUUCUCCUUAGCUGAUUUUUCUUCUUGCCUUAUACUGGGUUCUUUAACACCAGAACAAAAAUAAAUAAAUAAAAGAAUCUUCCAGAAAUUCAUGAAGAGACUUCAGGUCAGGAAAGCCUGAACUUUCUCAUCCAACACCCGUUCAAGUCGGAGGAUGCUGAUUAAUUCAUGAUGGAAAGGUAUCAAUUUCACAGCCCAGACCUCUACAUUCUUGAAAUGCUCUUCUCAUGGGAGACAUUAAAUAAGCUUUGAAUUAACUAAAAAUAUCCAACCCGAGCAGGAUAAAACUGAUCAUCCUGAGGAUAUUGCCCUUGGAGUUAAUUUUUUGAGAGAAAUAAAACAAUAAACAUCAUAAGACACAAACCCCAAGCAACUGAUCUCACUGUUAAAAUCCAACCUGAGAACAAUGGAAUGGACCAUACUGUCUUUGUCACAACUCUGCCAUUGCAGCGUGAAAGCAUCCAUAGACGGUACACAAAUGCAUGGAUGUAGUUGUACUCCAGUACAACUGCAAAAAGCAGACAGCUGGCUGGGUUUAGCCUACGGGCCAUAGUUUACACAACUCAAUCUAGGUGAUUGCCUGGUAACUUUGUGAUUGUAAACAGGAAA
rnacentral:lncRNA from 1 species